rnacentral:rRNA from 1 species
UACGGAGUAUGCAAGCGUUAUCCGGAAUUAUUGGGCGUAAAGCGUCCGCAGGUGGCACUUCAAGUCUGUCGUCAAAGACCGGGGCUUAACCCUGGAAAGGCGAUGGAAACUGAAAGGCUAGAGAGAGGUAGGGGUAGAGGGAAUUCCCAGUGUAGCGGUGAAAUGCGUAGAGAUUGGGAGGAACACCAGUGGCGAAGGCGGCUUCCUGGCCUGUUCUUGACGCUGAGGCGCGAAAGCUAGGGGAGCAAACGGG